AUUGCCCGGGAUCGCCAUCCGUCAGCGCGUUUGCGCCCACGGGUGCGAAACCG
rnacentral:sRNA from 1 species